CAGUCGCCGCGGUAAUACGAAGGGGGCUAGCGUUGUUCGGAAUUACUGGGCGUAAAGCGCACGUAGGCGGAUAUUUAAGUCAGGGGUGAAAUCCCAGAGCUCAACUCUGGAACUGCCUUUGAUACUGGGUAUCUUGAGUAUGGAAGAGGUGAGUGGAAUUCCGAGUGUAGAGGUGAAAUCCGUAGAUAUUCGGAGGAACACCAGUGGCGAAGGCGGCUCACUGGUCCAUUACUGACGCUGAGGUGCGAAAGCGUGGGGAGCAAACAGGAUUAGAUACCCGCGUAGUCCCUGUCUCUUAUAC
rnacentral:rRNA from 1 species